GCUGGUUUCAGAUGGUGGCAUAGAGUAUCGUCACCUGUCUAGCACCAUUUGAAAUCAGUGUU
rnacentral:pre_miRNA from 1 species